rnacentral:rRNA from 1 species
UACGUAGGGUGCGAGCGUUAAUCGGAAUUACUGGGCGUAAAGCGUGCGUAGGCGGUUCGUUGUGUCUGUGGUGAAAGCCCCGGGCUUAACCUGGGAAUGGCCAUGGAAACUGGCGAGCUGGAGUGUGGCAGAGGGGGGUGGAAUUCCGCGUGUAGCAGUGAAAUGCGUAGAGAUGCGGAGGAACACCGAUGGCGAAGGCAGCCCCCCUGGGCUAACACUGACGCUGAGGCACGAAAGCGUGGGGAGCAAACAGG